rnacentral:rRNA from 1 species
AACGUAGGUACCGAGCGUUAUCCGGAUUUACUGGGCGUAAAGCGCGUUCAGGCGGUUUGGCAAGUCGGGCAUGAAAUCUCUCGGCUCAACCGGGAGAGGUUGUCCGAUACUUCCAGACUUGAGGGCAGUAGAGGGUGGUGGAAUUCCAGGUGUAGCGGUGAAAUGCGUAGAUAUCUGGAGGAACACCGGUGGCGAAGGCGGCAUCCUGGACCAACACUGACGCUGAGUGAGCGAAAGCCAGGGGAGCGAACGGG